GUCAUGAGAGCCAAAACAAAUUUCCACUGAAAAGGUUUUUCUGUGCUACUCCUUGCUACUCCUUGUUAUGUAUUGACUCGCAAAUAGAUCCAGGCUUCCGAGGACAGUUACACCAAUUCUAGAGCAUAUAUUGUCCUCAAUCCUCCUGAUUUUCCUACCAUCAUUUCCAUAGUAUUCGAGUUGUAAAGCCCCGGCCUGUGGAUCUAACUGAAUAGUUUGUCAUGUCCAUGAAUCGGCUGUUUCAUUGAGCCUGGUCUGUAUCCACAUAACCAUGAGACAAAAUAUUUCAUCCAGUAAUUAGUGGACAUAUCGAAUACGGAGAAUCAACAUCACAGUUCUGAGGAGCUUCAUUUCCCAAAAUGUUUGGAGCAUAUCAUCUUGAUCAUUUUUGAAGGAUGGGUGCUGGACUUGGCACAUUUUCGAGAGGAGUACACUCUCAAUAAAUGUUGGUUUCUGAUGGAAUUAUGUAUAUGUAUCAUGCGCCCCUAUCAAUUGAACACAGGAAACAACAAUGGUUAUUAUGUUAUUCUCUUGUGGUUGUGCAAA